rnacentral:lncRNA from 1 species
UCCCAAGAUGGCGUCUGGAUGACGGAGCAGGAGGAGGGACGCGUAGCGGCAGGCUGGCCGUCUCUGCAGGCUCCUGCUGUUCUCCAGCUGAGGUAUGACUCCUCUCAGUCUUCCGGCAUCAGGCUCCAUCCUCCCUACGAGUGCUGGUUGCAAACUAUAAAAUCCAAUCGGGCUGGUUUAAGCAAGCAGAAUUUAUUGAGACUUCUUAGUAGUUCUGACUCACUGGGAGAUCUGAAGAAAAAGACACUCAAGACUGGUCUCCUGGGAACGCAACCCAGAAGCGACCCGAUGAGAACGCUGCUGCCACCACCACUCUUUGCCACCACCUUCACUUGCAAAAUGGCCCACAGCAUGCUAUGAGGCUCCCAACAGUGUCCCGGACAGGUCGAGGAAAAUGUUUAGAAUUUUACUGCAGAGAAGAUGGCUUUCCCAGUCUCCAAGUGUCCGCGAGCCUGACGCCACCUGCCAUCUGCUGGUCUUAAGCUGUAUAGCUCCAGAACAACUCCAGAGGCCAAGCGGGAACAAAGGGACCCCUCACCAACUUCGGAGGGGGAGAGGCUCCC